AAGACUGUACUUUCAGGGAUCAUUUCUACAGUUUGUUACUAGAGAAGUCUCUCUGAAUGUGUAGCGCACCAAAAACCAUGAGGAGGAGGUGGAGUGUUUUCUUCUGAGGGUGAAGUCGGCAUUUGGUGUUGCAGUUGCUGUAACUGCCACUUGCUGUUGAUAAUCGUUCUUCUCUUACAAGAGAAGUGAGAGGGAAAAAAUGCUGAGUGAU
rfam:Otolemur garnettii contig144743, whole genome shotgun sequence.